GUGCCCACACGUGAUGAGAACUAUGUUGGUAGGGACAUCUGAGAGGGUGAUGAAUGCCAACAAAUCUGAUCUGGGCAC
rnacentral:snoRNA from 1 species